rnacentral:sRNA from 1 species
AAGGGAGGAAGUUCGAUUAAAACCGCCACAAAGCAUGAGCAACAUCGAACUACCCACGUUGCGUGGG